rnacentral:rRNA from 1 species
UAGUCCACGCCGUAAACGAUGAGAACUAGAUGUCGGAAGGGUUUAGCCUUUCGGUGUCGCAGCUAACGCGUUAAGUUCUCCGCCUGGGGAGUACGGUGGCAACACUAAAACUCAAAGGAAUUGACGGGGACCCGCACAAGCGGUGGAGCAUGUGGUUUAAUUCGAUGCAACGCGAAGAACCUUACCUGCCCUUGACAUUGACAGAACCCUUUAGAGAUAGAGGGGUGCUUCGGCCUGGAAACAGGUGCUGCAUGGCUGUCGUCAGCUCGUGUCGUGAGAUGUUGGGUUAAGUCCCGCAACGAGCGCAACCCUUAUCCAUAGUUGCCAGCACGUAAUGGUGGGAACUCUAUGGAGACUGCCGGUGACAAACCGGAGGAAGGUGGGGAUGACGUCAAGUCAUCAUGGGCCCUUAUGGGGCAGGGGCUUCACACGUAAUACAAUGGCGCGUACAGAGGGUUGCCAACCCGCGAGGGGGGAGCUAAUCUCAGAAAGCGCGUCGUAGUCCGGGAUCGGGAGUCU